rnacentral:tRNA from 1 species
GGCUUCGUGGUUUAGGGGUAUAAUUCUCGCUUAGGGCUCACCCUGGGCGUGUCUGCGAGAGGUCCCGGGUUCGAAUCCCGGCGAAGCCC